rnacentral:ribozyme from 18 species
UUUUUUUUUUUUUUUUUUUUUUUUUAAUAGAUAACAAUAUAAUAAUAACGGCAAAAGUAAUAAUAGAGA